CAAUAGAUUGGAUCAAACUAUGUGGAUUUCAAAAGUUUGUCUUUU
rnacentral:sRNA from 1 species